UACGUAGGGGGCAAGCGUUAUCCGGAAUUAUUGGGCGUAAAGAGUGCGUAGGUGGUUUUGUAAGCGCGAGGUGAAAGGCUAUGGCUCAACCAUAGUAAGCCUUGCGAACUGUGAGACUUGAGUGCAGGAGAGGAAAGUGGAAUUCCUAGUGUAGCGGUGAAAUGCGUAGAUAUUAGGAGGAACACCAGUGGCGAAGGCGACUUUCUGGACUGUUACUGACACUGAGGCACGAAAGCGUGGGGAGCAAACAGG
rnacentral:rRNA from 1 species